rnacentral:rRNA from 1 species
AUACGUAGGGUGCAAGCGUUAAUCGGAAUUUCUGGGCGUAAAGCGUGCGCAGGCGGUUUUGUAAGACAGUGGUGAAAUCCCCGGGCUCAACCUGGGAACUGCCAUUGUGACUGCAAAGCUGGAGUGCGGCAGAGGGGGAUGGGAUUCCGCGUGUAGCAGUGAAAUGCGUAGAUAUGCGGAGGAACACCGAUGGGGAAGGCAAUCCCCCGGGCCUGCACUGACGCUCAUGCACGAAAGCGUGGGGAGCAAACAGGAUUAGAUUCCCUGGUAGUCCACGCCCUAAACGAUGUCAACUGGUUGUUGGGGAUUUAUUUUCUCAGUAACGAAGCUAACGCGUGAAGUUGACCGCCUGGGGAGUACGGCCGCAAGGUUAAAACUCAAAUGAAUUGACGGGG